rnacentral:misc_RNA from 1 species
GGCUCUGCAUAUAAGCCGCGGCGGCGCCGGUGCGGGCACACUCUGCAACAAUGUCUCCCCGUGCUCUGAUCCCCGUGGCGCUGCUGGCGGCGCUGCUGGCUGCCUCCGUGCUGGUCGCGGACGGCGCCAAGCACGGAAAGCCCGCCCGGCUGGUUCCGGGUCAGGAGGAGUGGCCCGAGAGGGUCGGCUGUCCCACCGGCUACGUGCCCGACCUGAGGCCCAAGGCCCUGAAGCAGCGCCGCCCGGGCUACAUCGUCUGCGCCAAAGGCAACAUCGAGAACUGCGUGCACGGCACCUUCUGGUAUCUGCUCGACCGGCGCUUCUGCUUCAAGUGCAACUGCAUCAACGGCAAGGCCGACUGUCUCUCCUACACCUGCCCGCCGCCCAAGCCCAUCUUCCCCACCAGCAAGCGGUACCAGUGCCGACGGGACCAGGUCAAGGAGUGCCCCAAGAGCAGCUGCACGUUCCUGGCCAGGGACCACCGCUGCGUGUUCUGUGACUGCCACUAGGCUGAGAGCCAGGGGAUGGGAGGGACACCGGGACGGGCUUCCCGGGAACGGAGCACGCCCGCUGGCGGGCGACGGGGCACAUUGUUACAGACCCGCUGGUCGGGACAACUACCCAUUUAUCGUUGUUGACUCAUUCAAUGAGAUUACUAUUGAAUAACCUGGAGAGUUUUAUGUUCAAAGCUUAAUUACAAGGCCACAUGUGUAUUGUGUAUAUCCAGCGCAUAUCUCUUCGUAGUGUCCUGCACUUCGAAAAUGCUGCGCUUAUAAAAGCUAAAAUAAAAUGAUGCGAAGGCCACAUGCCAUGAAUUUGUUGGUACACACCAAAUACAAAAUACUUCUUGAUGAUAAA